rnacentral:rRNA from 1 species
UACGUAGGGGGCUAGCGUUGUCCGGAAUCAUUGGGCGUAAAGCGCGUGUAGGCGGUCCGGUAAGUCCGCUGUGAAAGUCGGGGGCUCAACCCUCGGAUGCCGGUGGAUACUGUCGGGCUUGAGUACGGAAGAGGCGAGUGGAAUUCCUGGUGUAGCGGUGAAAUGCGUAGAUAUCAGGAGGAACACCGGUGGCGAAGGCGCUCAUCUGGCCCGAUACUGACGCUGAGGCGCGAAAGCUAGGGUAGCGAACGGG